rnacentral:sRNA from 1 species
AAGCAAGAAGAAGAAGAAGAAGAAACAGA